rnacentral:rRNA from 1 species
AGUGAACGCUGGCGGCAGGCCUAACACAUGCAAGUCGAACGGCAGCACAGCAGUAGCAAUACUGUGAGUGGCGAGUGGCGGACGGGUGAGGAAUACAUCGGAAUCUGCCUAGUCGUGGGGGAUAACGUAGGGAAACUUACGCUAAUACCGCAUACGACCUACGGGUGAAAGCGGGGGAUCGCAAGACCUCGCGCGAUUAGAUGAGCCGAUGUCCGAUUAGCUAGUUGGCGGGGUAAUGGCCCACCAAGGCGACGAUCGGUAGCUGGUCUGAGAGGAUGAUCAGCCACACUGGAACUGAGACACGGUCCAGACUCCUACGGGAGGCAGCAGUGGGGAAUAUUGGACAAUGGGCGCAAGCCUGAUCCAGCCAUGCCGCGUGGGUGAAGAAGGCU